GCCCGGCUAGCUCAGUCGGUAGAGCACAUAACUCUUAAUAUCGGGGUCGUGGGUUUGUGCCCCACGUUGGGCG